rnacentral:rRNA from 1 species
UAAGAGAUUAAUUGAUUGACGAUAAUCACAGAAGAAGCACCGGCUAACUCCGUGCCAGCAGCCGCGGUAAUACGGAGGGUGCGAGCGUUAAUCGGAAUGACUGGGCGUAAAGGGCACGCAGGUGGUGACUUAAGUGAGGUGUGAAAUCCCCGGGCUUAACCUGGGAACAGCAUUUCAGACUGGGUGACUAGAGUACUUUAGGGAGGGGUAGAAUUCCACGUGUAGCGGUGAAAUGCGUAGAGAUGUGGAGGAAUACCGAAGGCGAAGGCAGCCCCUUGGGAAGAUACUGACGCUCGAGUGCGAAAGCGUGGGGAGCAAACAGGAUUAGAUACCCUGGUAGUCCACGCUGUAAACGAUGUCGAUUUGGGGAUUGGGUGAAC